rnacentral:rRNA from 1 species
UGCCUACGGGAGGCAGCAGUGGGGAAUAUUGCACAAUGGGGGAAACCCUGAUGCAGCGACGCCGCGUGAGUGAAGAAGUAUUUCGGUACGUAAAGCUCUAUCAGCAGGGAAGAAAAUGACGGUACCCAAAGAGGAAGCUCCGGCUAACUACGUGCCAGCAGCCGCGGUAAUACGUAGGGAGCGAGCGUUGUCCGGAAUUACUGGGUGUAAAGGGAGCGUAGGCGGGCGAGAAAGUUGAAUGUUAAAUCUACCGGCUUAACUGGUAGCUGCGUUCAAAACUUCUUGUCUUGAGUGAAGUAGAGGCG